rnacentral:misc_RNA from 1 species
AAGAGAAAGGAUGAAAGUCCAACCUCCAACCCUCUGUUUUAAACCACUAGUUGCCUUGCCUUAUGUCGGCUGACUGAGGUGUGGGGAAACCCGCACCGCUCUCACGCAGGCCUCUGGGGCAAUGGAUCUACAAACUCGAAUAUCAGUGUAGUCUGAGCAAAAAUUCAAUGAAUUA